UGUGCCGAGCGGUAGUAGAUCUUUCGGGAUCUUGAGAGCGGCGUACGGGUGCGGAACACGUGUGCAACCUGCCUUUAUCUGGGGGAUAGCCUUUCGAAAGGAAGAUUAAUACCCCAUAAUAUACUGAAUGGCAUCAUUCUGUAUUGAAAACUCCGGUGGAUAGAGAUGGGCACGCGCAAGAUUAGAUAGUUGGUGAGGUAACGGCUCACCAAGUCUACGAUCUUUAGGGGGCCUGAGAGGGUGAUCCCCCACACUGGUACUGAGACACGGACCAGACUCCUACGGGAGGCAGCAGUGAGGAAUAUUGGACAAUGGGUGAGAGCCUGAUCCAGCCAUCCCGCGUGAAGGACGACGGCCCUAUGGGUUGUAAACUUCUUUUGUAUAGGGAUAAACCUACCCUCGUGAGGGUAGCUGAAGGUACUAUACGAAUAAGCACCGGCUAACUCCGUGCCAGCAGCCGCGGUAAUACGGAGGGUGCAAGCGUUAUCCGGAUUUAUUGGGUUUAAAGGGUCCGUAGGCGGAUCUGUAAGUCAGUGGUGAAAUCUCACAGCUUAACUGUGAAACUGCCAUUGAUACUGCAGGUCUUGAGUGUUGUUGAAGUAGCUGGAAUAAGUAGUGUAGCGGUGAAAUGCAUAGAUAUUACUUAGAACACCAAUUGCGAAGGCAGGUUACUAAGCAACAACUGACGCUGAUGGACGAAAGCGUGGGGAGCGAACAGGAUUAGAUACCCUGGUAGUCCACGCCGUAAACGAUGCUAACUCGUUUUUGGAAUGUAAGUUUCAGAGACUAAGCGAAAGUGAUAAGUUAGCCACCUGGGGAGUACGAACGCAAGUUUGAAACUCAAAGGAAUUGACGGGGGCCCGCACAAGCGGUGGAUUAUGUGGUUUAAUUCGAUGAUACGCGAGGAACCUUACCAAGGCUUAAAUGGGAAAUGACAGGUUUAGAAAUAGACUUUUCUUCGGACAUUUUUCAAGGUGCUGCAUGGUUGUCGUCAGCUCGUGCCGUGAGGUGUUAGGUUAAGUCCUGCAACGAGCGCAACCCCUGUCACUAGUUGCCAUCAUUAAGUUGGGGACUCUAGUGAGACUGCCUACGCAAGUAGAGAGGAAGGUGGGGAUGACGUCAAAUCAUCACGGCCCUUACGCCUUGGGCCACACACGUAAUACAAUGGCCGGUACAGAGGGCAGCUACACUGCGAAGUGAUGCAAAUCUCGAAAGCCGGUCUCAGUUCGGAUUGGAGUCUGCAACUCGACUCUAUGAAGCUGGAAUCGCUAGUAAUCGCGCAUCAGCCAUGGCGCGGUGAAUACGUUCCCGGGCCUUGUACACACCGCCCGUCAAGCCAUGGAAGUCUGGGGUACCUGAAGUCGGUGACCGUAGUCAG
rnacentral:rRNA from 1 species